rnacentral:rRNA from 1 species
CGCAGCCGCGGUAAUUCCAGCUCCAAUAGCGUAUAUUAAAGUUGUUGCAGUUAAAAAGCUCGUAGUUAAAUUUCGGGAUCAAUUUGUUGGUCGUGCCUCGGUACGUACUGGCAUUAUUGGUUUCUACCUUCUGAAGAACCUUGAUGUCAUUAAUUUGGUGUCUUGGGGAAUCAGGACUGUUACUUUGAAAAAAUUAGAGUGUUUAAAGCAGGCAUACGCUUGAAUACAUUAGCAUGGAAUAAUGAAAUAGGACGUUUGAUUCUAUUUUGUUGGUUUCUAGGAUCGACGUAAUGAUUAAUAGGGAUAGUUGGGGGCAUUAGUAUUCAACUGUCAGAGGUGAAAUUCUUGGGAUUUAUUGGAAGACUAACUACUGCGAAAGCAUUUGCCAAGGAUGUUUUCAUUAAUUAAGAACGAAAGUUAGGGGAUCGAAGACGAUCAGAUACCGUCGUAGUCUUAACCAUAACUAUGCCGACUAGGGAUCGGAUGAUGUUAUUUUUAAUGUACUCUAUUCGGCGCCGUU